AAACGCCACCGUGAGCCACAAUCAAAAAAAAAAAAAAAAAGUAAAAAAAAAAAAGAAAAAGCUACCCUUUGACGACUCCGAUCUGGCCCCGAUGUUUUCCAACGGCCGCUGGGUUUGCGAGAAGCUACCGAGGUCCCGAAGCCCCUUUCCUGCAUGACGGUUGCAGGCUGCGCGUAAUGAGUGUCUUGCGUGCAAGCACCGAGGUCUCCGCACCGUGUUCCUGGGCUGGAGUCCUACCGAGCUUCCAGCACACAUAGUCUCUCAGGCUUUGGAGAACACGAGAGGCCCCAAACCCAGACUGUGCAACAAAAUGCUGAUUGAUCCAGACCCAGACCAUCCCUACUCCUACAAUUCACUUUUCUGCAGAACUCUUACUGGUGUGGCUAGUACUUCAAAAUCAUACAAUGAAAGAAGAGGGAAGGCGUGUCUUCUCACACUGUUCCCUAUGAAGAAAAGGCGAGCAAAUGAGGGUGACUCAGGACUUCUAGUGGCCUACACGCGACUGAACAUUUUUCUGAAUGAUUCCACGUAUACACUUUGGAAUUAGGAAGAGAAACAUUUUACUCUUCACUAACCAAAUAAAACCAUCUAUAAAUCAUAUGCA
rnacentral:lncRNA from 1 species